rnacentral:miRNA from 1 species
UUUGGCCGUGAAAUGUUGUAGAAUGCGGAAAAUAUAGCCUUCAUGCGAAAUUUGCAAAUUUUGUAGGGCUAUAUUUUCCCCAUUUUACAACAUUUCGCAACCAAA